UACGGAGGGGGCUAGCGUUGUUCGGAAUUACUGGGCGUAAAGCGCACUAGGCGGCCCAGCAAGUGGGGAGUGAAAGCCCUCGGCUUAACCGAGGAAGUGCUUUCCAAACUACUGGGCUUGAAUACUGGAGAGGGUCGCGGAAUUCCCGGUGUAGAGGUGAAAUGCGUAGAUAUCGGGAGGAAUACCUAUGGCGAAAGCAGGCUACUGGACCGUCAACUGACUCUGAUCUGCGAAAGCUAGGGGAGCAAACAGG
rnacentral:rRNA from 1 species